UACGUAGGGGGCAAGCGUUAUCCGGAUUUACUGGGUGUAAAGGGAGCGUAGACGGAGCGCCAAGUCUGGAGUGAAAUGCCGCGGCUUAACCGCGGAACUGCUUUGGAAACUGGCGUGCUGGAGUGCGGGAGGGGUAAGCGGAAUUCCUAGUGUAGCGGUGAAAUGCGUAGAUAUUAGGAGGAACACCAGUGGCGAAGGCGGCUUGCUGGACUGUAACUGACGUUGAGGCUCGAAAGCGUGGGGAGCAA
rnacentral:rRNA from 1 species